UUUCAGGGGCUUUUCAAACUUUGAAUCAAAACCCGCUGUGAGAAAUAGUUUGACAACUCCAGGUGCAGAGGAGACUGGGCUUGGGCCAUGUGACUUGUACAGCCAACAGGACAUCAGCAAACAUGAUGCAGAGACUUGAUAAGCGUUUGCAUAGGAGUGAGUCUUUCCUUCUUGGAACCCAGCUGCCAUGCUUUAAGAGAGCCAAUCGAACCUACCAGCAGAUGAGAACCCAUGUGGAGGAGAACUAUGCACUCUAGCUGACCAACACCAACUUCCAGAAUUGUGAAUGAAACUAUCUUGGAUAUUUCAGCCCCAGUAGAGCUCCCAGCUGAUUGCAGCUACUGAAUGAGCAACCCAGUUGAAUGAGUGACCUUAGUCAAUAUCACCCAGAGCAGAAAAACCACCCAGCUGAGCCCAGCUAGUAUACAGAUCAUGACAGAUAAUAAAGGGCUAUUCUCCUUACCACAAAAAUAGACGUUGAAUGAGGGCAUUCUCUACUUUCAAUGGGAUUAUACUCAUUCAUUUGCAGAUGUUUUUUAUUUAAUUUAAUUUUUAAGAUUUAUUUGUUUGAGAGAGAGAGAGCACAAGGGGC